GAUGAACGCUGGCGGCGUGCCUAAUACAUGCAAGUCGAGCGAACAGACGAGGAGCUUGCUCCUCUGACGUUAGCGGCGGACGGGUGAGUAACACGUGGAUAACCUACCUAUAAGACUGGGAUAACUUCGGGAAACCGGAGCUAAUACCGGAUAAUAUAUUGAACCGCAUGGUUCAAUAGUGAAAGACGGUUUUGCUGUCACUUAUAGAUGGAUCCGCGCCGCAUUAGCUAGUUGGUAAGGUAACGGCUUACCAAGGCAACGAUGCGUAGCCGACCUGAGAGGGUGAUCGGCCACACUGGAACUGAGACACGGUCCAGACUCCUACGGGAGGCAGCAGUAGGGAAUCUUCCGCAAUGGGCGAAAGCAUGACGGAGCAACGCCGCGUGAGUGAUGAAGGUCUGCGGAUCGUAAAACUCUGUUAUUAGGGAAGAACAAAUGUGUAAGUAACUAUGCACGUCUUGACGGUACCGAAGCAGAAAGCCACGGCUAACUACGG
rnacentral:rRNA from 1 species